rnacentral:rRNA from 1 species
UUUGAUCAUGGCUCAGGAUGAACGCUAGCGGCAGGCCUAAUACAUGCAAGUCGAACGCUCAGUAGCAAUACUGGGAGUGGCGCACGGGUGCGUAACGCGUACACAAUCUACCUCUAAGCGGGGGACACCUCCUGGAAACGGGGAUUAAUACCGCAUAAUAUGCCGAGGUCGCAUGACUUUGGUAUUAAAGCAGCAAUGCACUUAGAGAUGAGUGUGCGUCCCAUUAGGCAGUUGGUGAGGUAACGGCUCACCAAGCCUAUGAUGGGUAGCCGGUCUGAGAGGAUGGUCGGCCACACGGGCACUGAGACACGGGCCCGACUCCUACGGGAGGCAGCAGUAAGGAAUAUUGGUCAAUGGUGGAAACACUGAACCAGCCAUGCCGCGUGGAGGAAUAAGGUCCUACGGAUUGUAAACUCCUUUUGACGAGGAAGAAAGUGUUAGAUUUAUCUAAUUUUGACGGUACUCGUAGAAUAAGCACCGGCUAACUCCGUG